GUCGAGGUAGCUCAGUUGGUAGAGCGAGGGACUGAAAAUCCCUGCGUCGCGGGUUCAAGUCCCGCCCUUGACACCA
rnacentral:tRNA from 1 species